rnacentral:tRNA from 1 species
CCAGCCCUGGUGUACGGUCCCCUCGGGGGCCAUGGAAGCACGUCGGACGCUCAAUCCGAAGAUCCAGGUUCGACUCCUGGGGGCUGGU